CCUACGGGAGGCAGCAGUGAGGAAUAUUGGACAAUGGGCGCAAGCCUGAUCCAGCCAUGCCGCGUGCAGGAAGACGCAUCUAUGGUGUGUAAACUGCUUUUGUACGGGAAGAAACACUCCCUCGUGAGGGAGUUUGACGGUACCGUAAGAAUAAGGAUCGGCUAACUCCGUGCCAGCAGCCGCGGUAAU
rnacentral:rRNA from 1 species